CAAGGAGCUCGGCCCACCGUUCACGUCGCCGCCUCUGCCGUCUGGUCGCGCACCUUGAUUCCACGAUUAGUUGAUAUAGUGUAAAAGGCUUCAAUGGCAACAAAAAGAGGAAGACCGCGAAAGAAACCGCGUGGAGAGGAACAGAAUCGCAAUGAUAAAAUCGCCUCGCUGAAAGAGAAAGACGAGGCAUUUGACAACUACGAAGCUGAGAGGCAAUGUGCUGCAAUCAGAGCUCUCCGGGAUGUUGAAAUCGAACGUUUUAGCACUAUGCUGCAGUUACUUCGUUCUUAUUUCAGUGAAGACCAGUUGCAGAUUCCUGUAUUGCAGUUUUUCGAUGAAAAACUAACGAACCUAACCCUUGAAAAGACUGGAGAGGAUGGCCAGUAUGAAGUGAAAUCGAAAGGGGAAGCUGUGGAUGUGGACCAUGGUGAUAAAAGAACAUUACAUGCUGCUCUUCUACGUCGCUUGUCAUUAGCUUAUCCUGAAUUCUCCUCAGGGAUUCCUUCUCUAUGCGGCUUCAAAUUUUCAAAUCAAGCUGUGAAAACAAGCCUUUUUGCUGCUGAUAAACUAGAGACCAGGAGUCUCGUUUUUGACGAGCCAUCACAACCACAAAUGCUAGAACUGAAGGAUAACCUGCAUACUCCAAAUGUUAGUAACCAUCGAUUGUCAGUUGGGGUAACCCCCAAAACCACGAGGUUUCCAAAGUCUGGCGAGAUGCUUCUGUCAAUACGUGGCUCACCCCUCGGUGUCUUCAAGGAAGAUAACAUGGAAACUAUAAAAGAGAGUGGAGAUGGUUGAACUGCCGGACCCAAGACGAAGCAUUUCAGUGACUUCAAGCGAGGACAUUUGAGUAUCAUACAGAUCUGUCAAACAUGGAGUUAAGUUUCUUACCUAUCAGAUUCAAAGCGUGUCGAUCGAAUCUGUUGAUUGGCAGUUUUCAAAGGAAGAAUAUAUAAAUGCAGACAUAUGAAGAAAUGAACUUUAGAAAACGAGGGCCGGCCAGCUCAAGUGUGAAAAUGAACCACAAAAUGGAGAAGAAAAAGUAAAUAGAAAUUUAGG